UACAGAGGCCUCAAGCGUUGUUCGGAUUUACUGGGCGUAAAGCGUGCGUAGGUGGUGCGUUAAGUCUGUCGUGAAAGCCCCGGGCUCAACCUGGGAAUGGCAUUGGAAACUGGCGGGCUUGAGUGUGGCAGAGGGGGGUGGAAUUCCGGGUGUAGCGGUGGAAUGCGUAGAGAUCCGGAAGAACACCGGUGGCGAAGGCGGCCCGCUGGGCAGUUGCUGACACUGAGGCGCGACAGCGUGGGGAGCAAACAGG
rnacentral:rRNA from 1 species